rnacentral:rRNA from 1 species
GAGGGAUCAUUACCGAGUUUACAACUCCCAAACCCCUGUGAACAUACCAAUUGUUGCCUCGGCGGAUCAGCCCGCUCCCGGUAAAACGGGACGGCCCGCCAGAGGACCCCUAAACUCUGUUUCUAUAUGUAACUUCUGAGUAAAACCAUAAAUAAAUCAAAACUUUCAACAACGGAUCUCUUGGUUCUGGCAUCGAUGAAGAACGCAGCAAAAUGCGAUAAGUAAUGUGAAUUGCAGAAUUCAGUGAAUCAUCGAAUCUUUGAACGCACAUUGCGCCCGCCAGUAUUCUGGCGGGCAUGCCUGUUCGAGCGUCAUUUCAACCCUCAAGCCCCCGGGUUUGGUGUUGGGGAUCGGCGAGCCCUUGCGGCAAGCCGGCCCCGAAAUCUAGUGGCGGUCUCGCUGCAGCUUCCAUUGCGUAGUAGUAAAACCCUCGCAACUGGUACGCGGCGCGGCCAAGCCGUUAAACCCCCAACUUCUGAAUGUUGACCUCGGAUCAGGUAGGAAUACCCGCUGAACUUAAGCAUAUCAA